rnacentral:rRNA from 1 species
UACGGAGGGUGCAAGCGUUAUCCGGAUUCACUGGGUUUAAAGGGUGCGUAGGUGGACAAGUAAGUCAGUGGUGAAAUCUCCGGGCUUAACUCGGAAACUGCCGUUGAUACUAUAAUUCUUGAAUAUUGUGGAGGUAAGCGGAAUAUGUCAUGUAGCGGUGAAAUGCUUAGAUAUGACAUAGAACACCAAUUGCGAAGGCAGCUGGCUACACGAAUAUUGACACUGAUGCACGAAAGCGUGGGGAUCAAACAGG